rnacentral:pre_miRNA from 1 species
GGAUUUUAGAAAUCCGUCUCUAAGCUUAGAGACGGAUUUAGGAAAUCCGUCUCUAAACUUAGAGACGGAUUUUAAAAUCCGUCUCUAAACUUAGAGACGGAUUUUAAAAAUCCGUCUCUAAGCUUAGAGACGGAUUUUGCAAAUCCGUCUCUAGUUUAGAGACGGAUUUUGAAAAUCC